AUGGUGGUAACGGGUAACGGGGUGUUAGGGCACGACACCGGAGAGGGAGCCUGAGAAACGGCUACCACAUCCAAGGAUGGCAGCAGGCGCGCAAAUUACCCAAUCCCGACACGGGGAGGUAGUGACAAUAAAUAACAAUACGGGGUCCUUUCGGGUUUCGUAAUUGGAAUGAGUACAAUUUAAAUCUCUUAACGAGGAACAAUUGGAGGGCAAGUCUGGUGCCAGCAGCCGCGGUAAUUCCAGCUCCAAUAGCGUAUAUUAAAGUUGUUGCAGUUAAAAAGCUCGUAGUUGAAUUUCGGGAUCAGUACGCCGGUCGUGCUUCGGUAUGCACUGGUGUCACUGGUUCCUCCCUUCUGAAGAACCACCAUGCCAUUCAUUUGGUGUGGCGGGGAAUCAGGACUGUUACUUUGAAAAAAUUAGAGUGUUUAAAGCAGGCAUUUUUGCCUGAAUACAUUAGCAUGGAAUAAUAAAAUAGGACGGCAUGGUUCUAUUUUGUUGGUUUCUAGGACCACCGUAAUGAUUAAUAGGGAUAGUUGGGGGCAUUAGUAUUCAAUUGUCAGAGGUGAAAUUCUUGGAUUUAUUGAAGACUAACUACUGCGAAAGCAUUUGCCAAGGAUGUUUUCAUUAAUCAAGAACGAAAGUUAGGGGAUCGAAGACGAUCAGAUACCGUCGUAGUCUUAACCAUAAACUAUGCCGA
rnacentral:rRNA from 1 species